ACAGGUUGGUCUACCGGUGAGUGGAAAGAAUGUGAAUGGAAAGAAUGCUUCACCAGCUUUGGAACUGCUAGAUUUGGAACCUCAAUGACGUUCAACACAGAAAUAAAGGAAGAUUCGAGAAAGAUAAGAAUGUAUUUUUUAACAAAGAAAGCAUAGACAACUCAGAAAUGGCAAGCAAAGGUCAAUUUUCAGUAAGUGAUUCUUCUCUAAAGCAGGAGAUAGAGUAACUUGUCUGAUAGAAUAAGCCUCCCAGUACUCUGUACCCAAGUGGCAGAUACAGGGGGCUGGCAACACAAAUUUUGAAAGACACCAUUCAGAUCUUCAUCAAAUCCUUCAAAGAAACUUCAUAGUGGGUUGUGAGGAAAGAAGAACAACAAAGCAUGGGCCAAAAACUAAAAGAGAUGAAACAGGAGAACAAAUGGUCAUUUAAAAUGACGGUGAAAAGCCAGAACAGUGGAGUGUAUGUAAGAUCUUGUGACAGAACAUGUGUUGUAACCACCCUUACAAACAGUCUAGAAAAGGGCUGUACAGAAGAAAAAAACACUUGUAGAGGACACGAGAGCGUGGGAUGGAUGGAGAAGAUAUUCAGGGUGACCCAACAGUGCAGAUUGCUUCUUUCUCCUGUAUACAAGAAAUCAUGGAUUUCACCUCAUUGUUCCCUUGAGCUUCAUAGAAGGUUCUCCUAUUUUUCCUGUGCAUCAGGCAUUAUCAAUAUGAAUGAGUUUAGUUACAGAGGCAGGACAUCCAGGGCAUGCUGAAGAACAUGAAGCAAUAUGACAAACUCAAGCAUGAAAUAUAAAACGGCUGAAGCAUAUCAGAGCAUGGGAAAAUAACUCCUGAUGAAGUUCUGGAUUGCAUUGUUACAGGGAGAAAAAGAAAUUCAUAGCCCAUCACCUUCCAACGAUGACCAAACCCACAGUUUAUAUUUCUCUUAAGUUCCACCAGGUUGAUUAAGCCCUGGAUAAAACAGGUAUCAAGCUGCCAAACACGUUACUAUUAGG
rnacentral:lncRNA from 1 species